UAGGGAAUCUUCGGCAAUGGGGGGAACCCUGACCGAGCAACGCCGCGUGAGUGAAGAAGGUUUUCGGAUCGUAAAGCUCUGUUGUUAAGGAAGAACGAGUGUGAGAAUGGAAAGUUCAUGCUGUGACGGUACUUAACCAGAAAGGAACGGCUAACUACGUGCCAGCAGCCGCGGUAAUACGUAGGUCCCGAGCGUUGUCCGGAUUUAUUGGGUGUAAAGCGAGCGCAGGCGGUUAGAAAAGUCUGAAGUGAAAGGCAGUGGCUCAACCAUUGUAGGCUUUGGAAACUGUUUAACUUGAGUGCAGAAGGGGAGGGUGGAAUUCCAUGUGUAGCGGUGAAAUGCGUAGAUAUAUGGAGGAACACCGGUGGCGAAAGCGGCUCUCUGGUCUGUAACUGACGCUGAGGCUCGAAAGCGUGGGGAGCGAACAGG
rnacentral:rRNA from 1 species